CCAAAGUCUGUGACUUCCCUCCCAUAGAGUAGGAAGGAGAACUAUGAUAUUCAGCUCAUCUGAAUUCUAGAAGCGGCUUCCCACUGCCUUCUUUUCUUCCUAGGGGCUUUGAAAAUUACAUUCAUGGCAAUAAUCCAAAAUUGCUUUCCCCACAGAGAGGUUUAACCAGAGGUAGCAGAGUAAUGCUGAAGAGCUCUGGGAUUCUGGAGAUCUGGCUUCCAGUUCCGGCUCUGUGAGGAAACAACUGGAAUUAAAUGGAGACUCCCCAUAUCCUGACCUCCACACCGUAGUCCUUCUCCCCUGAGGUGAACGAAGACAAGAAUGAGUAGAAGAUCUCUGAGGCACGUCUGAGAUUAGACAUCUUACAGACAUUUUGGAGAUGGAAGAAAGACUGGUUGUCAAUCUUUUAAAAGCAAAAUUCUUCAAGAAGUUGUCUUCACUUGCUGUCUCCACUUCCUUAACAUCUACGUUCUUCUCAACACGGUAUAAUUAGGAUUUGGUUUACAGUACUUCAUAGGAAAUCCCUUUUGUUGAGAUCAUUAGGAUCCUACGUCUUGCCCAAACUAACAAUCAAUUCUUACUCACCAUCUUUUUCAAAAUGUCAUGAGCAUUUGACAUGUUUAUCCUUCUCUUAUUCUGACUUUU